GAGUUUGAUCAUGGCUCAGAUUGAACGCUGGCGGCAUGCCUUACACAUGCAAGUCGAACGGCAGCACGGGAGCUUGCUCCUGGUGGCGAGUGGCGAACGGGUGAGUAAUGCAUCGGAACGUAUCCUGGAGUGGGGGAUAACGUAGCGAAAGUUACGCUAAUACCGCAUAUUCUGUGGGCAGGAAAGCGGGGGACCUUCGGGCCUCGCGCUCUUGGAGCGGCCGAUGUCGGAUUAGCUAGUUGGUGAGGUAAAGGCUCACCAAGGCGACGAUCCGUAGCAGGUCUGAGAGGAUGAUCUGUCACACUGGAACUGAGACACGGUCCAGACUCCUACGGGAGGCAGCAGUGGGGAAUUUUGGACAAUGGGGGCAACCCUGAUCCAGCCAUGCCGCGUGAGUGAAGAAGGCC
rnacentral:rRNA from 1 species